GAUGAAGAACGCAGCGAAAUGCGAUAAGUAAUGUGAAUUGCAGAAUUCAGUGAAUCAUCGAAUCUUUGAACGCACAUUGCGCCCUCUGGUAUUCCGGAGGGCAUGCCUGUUCGAGCGUCAUUUCGACCCUCAAGCAUUGCUUGGUGUUGGGGCACCGCCUGUAAAAGGGCGGGCCCUGAAAUCUAGUGGCGAGCUCGCCAGGACCCCGAGCGUAGUAAUUAUAUUUCGUUCUGGAAGGCCCUGGCGGUGCCCUGCCGUUAACCCCCCAACUUCUGAAAAUUUGACCUCGGAUCAGGUAGGAAUACCCGCUGAACUUAAGCAUAUCAAUAAGCGGAGGA
rnacentral:misc_RNA from 1 species